rnacentral:rRNA from 1 species
CCUACGGGUGGCAGCAGUAGGGAAUAUUGCUCAAUGGGGGAAACCCUGAAGCAGCAACGCCGCGUGGAGGAUGAAGGUUUUCGGAUUGUAAACUCCUUUUGUUAGAGAAGAUAAUGAAGGUUUCUAACGAAUAAGCAAGGGCUACCUCCGGCCCAUCAGCAGCGGUAAUACGGAGGGUGAAAGGGUUACUCGGAAUCACUGGGGGUAAAGGGCGGGUAGGUGGGAUAGCAAGUCAGAUGUGAAAUCCUAGGGCUUAACCAGAGAACUGCAUUUGAAACUGUUAUUCUAGAGUGUGUGAGAGGUAGGUGGAAUUCUUGGUGUAGGAGUAAAAUCCGUAGAGAUCAAGAGGAAUACUCAUUGCGAAGGCGACCUGCUAGAACAUAACUGACGCUGAUGCGCGAAAGCGUGGGGAGCAAACAGGAUUAGAUACCCCAGUAGUC